rnacentral:rRNA from 1 species
AACGAACGCUGGCGGCAUGCCUAACACAUGCAAGUCGAACGAGACCUUCGGGUCUAGUGGCGCACGGGUGCGUAACGCGUGGGAACCUGCCCUUAGGUUCGGAACAACUCCCCGAAAGGGGUGCUAAUACCAGAUAAUGUCUUCGGACCAAAGAUUUAUCGCCUUUGGAUGGGCCCGCGUUGGAUUAGCUAGUUGGUAGGGUAAAAGCCUACCAAGGCGACGAUCCAUAGCUGGUCUGAGAGGAUGAUCAGCCACACUGGGACUGAGACACGGCCCAGACUCCUACGGGAGGCAGCAGUGGGGAAUAUUGGACAAUGGGCGAAAGCCUGAUCCAGCAAUGCCGCGUGAGUGAUGAAGGCCUUAGGGUUGUAAAGCUCUUUUACCCGGGAUGAUAAUGACAGUACCGGGAGAAUAAGCUCCGGCUAACUCCGUG